GACGAACGCUGGCGGCGUGCUUAACACAUGCAAGUCGAACGCUGAAGCUCAGCUUGCUGGGUGGAUGAGUGGCGAACGGGUGAGUAACACGUGAGUAACCUGCCCUCUUCUUUGGGAUAACGCCCGGAAACGGGUGCUAAUACUGGAUAUUCACUGAUUCUCGCAUGGGGGUUGGUGGAAAGGUUUUUUCUGGUGGGGGAUGGGCUCGCGGCCUAUCAGCUUGUUGGUGGGGUGAUAGCCUACCAAGGCUUUGACGGGUAGCCGGCCUGAGAGGGUGACCGGUCACAUUGAGACUGAGAUACGGCCCAGACUCCUACGGGAGGCAGCAGUGGGGAAUAUUGCACAAUGGGCGAAAGCCUGAUGCAGCGACGCCGCGUGAGGGAUGGAGGCCUUCGGGUUGUAAACCUCUUUCGCUCAUGGUCAAGCCGCAGCUUUGGGUUGUGGUGAGGGUAGUGGGUAAAGAAGCGCCGGCUAACUACGUG
rnacentral:rRNA from 1 species